rnacentral:rRNA from 1 species
UACAGAGGUCCCGAGCGUUGUUCGGAUUCAUUGGGCGUAAAGGGUGCGUAGGCGGCGGGGCAAGUCUGAUGUGAAAUCCUGGGGCUCAACCCCAGAACUGCAUUGGAUACUGCCUUGCUAGAGUACUGGAGAGGGAACUGGAAUUUACGGUGUAGCAGUGAAAUGCGUAGAGAUCGUAAGGAAGGCCAGUGGCGAAGGCGGCGUACUGGGUCUUUUCUGACGCUGAGGCACGAAAGCCAGGGUAGCGAACGGG